rnacentral:tRNA from 1 species
UGGGCACGAUAGGAUUUGAACCUAUAACAUCAAGAUUAUCGGUCUUGCGCUCUACCGUUGAGCUACAUGCCC